UACAGAGGUCUCAAGCGUUGUUCGGAUUCAUUGGGCGUAAAGGGUGCGUAGGUGGUGGGGUAAGUCGGAUGUGAAAUCCCGGGGCUCAACCCCGGAACUGCAUUCGAAACUGCCUUGCUCGAGUACUGGGGAGGAGACUGGAAUUUACGGUGUAGCAGUGAAAUGCGUAGAUAUCGUAAGGAAGACCAGUGGCGAAGGCGAGUCUCUGGACAGUUACUGACACUGAGGCACGAAGGCCAGGGGAGCAAACGGG
rnacentral:rRNA from 1 species